rnacentral:misc_RNA from 1 species
GAUGAAGAACGCAGUGAAAUGCGAUAAGUAAUGCGAAUUGCAGAAUUUCCGUGAGUCAUCGAAUCUUUGAACGCACAUUGCGCCCACUGGUAUUCCGGUGGGCAUGCCUGUUCGAGCGUCAUUAUCCUCCCUCAAACCCCGGGUUUGGUGUUGGACCCAAGUUGUGUGAACAACUGGUCUUAAAGACAAUGACGGCGUCCGUGGGACCCUCGGUGCAACGAGCUUUUAGGAGCACGCAUCGAGUUGCAAGGACCUUCCGGGCCGGUCUCCUUUACUAUUUUACAAGGUUGACCUCGGAUCAGGUAGGAAUACCCGCUGAACUUAAGCAUAUCAAUAAGCGGAGGA